rnacentral:lncRNA from 1 species
ACCACAAAUACACCUGUAUUUGGUGUGGAUUGGGGCAGCGAGCCGGAGAGCCACAGCAAUUCGGAGGGCCUGCGGUGUGAGACGGGUGCCGGUUGAUAUGAUAUAUCUGAAUAUUUAUUUAAUAUGAUAUGAUACAAGACGCUAGAGCUUGCGCCCUCUUUGGAUCCCGCAGGUCACUUAGGAUGGACCAUGACGCUAAGCCGGAUGAGGGAGCAUUUUUAUUGGCUGGGAAUGGACGCUGAUGUGAGGAGACAUUGCAAGGCCUGUUUCCCGUGCCAAAGGGCGGGGAAGAACGUCCUUGCUAUACCAAAGGAUGUGAUAAUAAAAUGUUAAUGGACUUAACCACAUACUUUGAAUGGACGAUAAUUAGCGAGUGAAUUAUUUAGACAAGACCCCAGAGCUGUUGAACUCUAGUCUCAUUUUGGCCAUAUAAAUAUAUUCCAAGAUGCGAGGGUCUAAGUGGUUACAAUAGAAAGCCACUCGUUGUGAAUGUGAGUGUGGCUCCUAGCUGAAAUAUUAAAUACAACCAUUUAUGGUGUUACAACGUGUAGUUGAAGAACACAUGUCGCUGAAGAACACAUGUCCCUAAAGGACUCAUGUCGCUAAAGGAACCUUUUCACUAAAGCUCUCUUCAACAUCUUCUUAAAUUCCAUGCUAUAAAAUCAGCAGUAAAGAUGCCAUCGCCUUCUUGUUCUAUCGCAGAAACUCAGUAGCUUGGGCAGUGAAUGUACAGUAGUGCACGUCUACAGGUAUUACCCUGGAAGCUCCGACCAGCAUGGAUGUGGCCGCCCUGUCUUCUCUCCCAUACGAAGGUGAUCGGCUUCCCUGACCAUCCACCGUGACCUCACAGAUGACGACCCCGACCUUGUAUGGUGUUGUGAUCUGAUAAGUCAAUUAUGUCCUCACUCCAGAGGUGGGCACUAUGAUGACCUGACCUUCCUGGGUACUCUUCUCACCAGCGAGGGUAUUGAGACACUGAUUCGAGAACUUCACGAGAGGAACGUCAGCGCUGGCAACCCCUGGACCAUGUUCUCAGCGCCACAGGGUCAACCCGGCACCACCCAGGCCCUGGCCGCCUCGCUACGCCUCUCCGGUCUCUAUGUCUUCUAGGGUCUGCAGGACCAAGUCGCAAGAUGAUCAAACAUUUGGUUCCUGUUAAAAUAUCUAUGAGACAGAAGGCUCUUAUAUAUAAUCACAGACUUGUUAACAUUUACCAUUGUUGCUAUCUGUUUAGUGCAGUUGUGCUUAGGUAUUUCUGAUGCUGUAUAUUGUGAAAAAUGUAUUGAAUAAUUAGUUAUAAACUCAGCAUUACUUCCCAAAAUCAAGAACUGGCCAACGAAGUUAAUCUUUUCCUACAUGAAACUAAGCUCUCUUCAGUUCAAAGUUUAAAACCUGAAUUACAUUGAAACCACUAGAAAAUAGGAGAGGGAAAAAAAUAAGGGAAAAGCGCCAAGCCCUUACAACUACAUAGCACUGGAUUUGGGAUGGGACGGGGGAGGGGGGAAGGAAUGUUGCCCAACCUCUUGGACGGUCGGGGAUUGAACGCCGACCUGCAUGAAGCGAGACUGUCGCUCUACCGUCCAGCCCAAGUGGUUGGUUAAAAAAAAUAUGAAGGAGAGAAUAUUUGCCAGCUUUUAAAACCCACUUAAUACCUUGCUAUUGCAACAAACUUUCUCCCAAGAUGAAUCAGACCAAUAAAAACUCCUAGCUGC